ACGAACGCUAGCGGCGUGCCUAAGGUAUGCAAGUCGAACGGGCCAGGGGGCUUGCCCUCUGGCUAGUGGCGAACGGUCGAGUAACACGUAGACAACCUGCCUUCCAGUGGGGGACAACAGCGGGAAACUGCUGCUAAUACCGCAUAUGGCGGGGGGAGGCAUCUCCCUCUGGCUAAAGGAGCAAUUCGCUGGAAGAUGGGUCUGCGGCCUAUCAGCUAGUUGGUGGGGUAACGGCCUACCAAGGCGACGACGGGUAGCUGGUCUGAUAGGAUGAUCAGCCGGACGGGGACUGAGACACGGCCCCGACUCCUCCGGGAGGCGGCAAUGAGGGAUAUUGCACAAUGGGGGAAACCCUGAUGCAGCGACGCCGCGUGGGUGAGGAAGUCCUUCGGGAUGUAAAGCCCUUUUGUCGGGGACGAUCAAAGACGGUACCCGGCGAAUAAGCCCCGGCUAACUACGU
rnacentral:rRNA from 1 species